CCUGAGGAAGUGAAACACACAAAGACAAAGAAUGAAAAUUACAGGAAAAUCCAGCUUCUUCUGCUCCGAGGCUUUAAGCUGUGAGAGACGUAUGAACGGCUGGUUUGUUAGGCUCACUUUAUAAUUAGACUUUGGGCUGCCACCAUCAUUUCUCAUCUCUGUGGAAAGGAGAGCACCAGUCCUCAUCACAGCAACCUGCCUGGAAGAGAGCUCCGUACAGGCUGCUUGGUUCUGGGUCACAGAGGACUGUCCUCCUUCCUGGUUUUAGAGUUCAGGAGGAAGCUGACGCUGCUGCGUGUUUCCCUGGGUUUGACUCUCAGACGGUCCAGACUGUAAAGACACAUCGAGGGAACAUUCGGAGGUCGUCCGGGCCACACCGAAGGAUCAACAAUCAGAAGAGCGGCGACGACCGGCAGAAUGGACGAUAUGCUGUCUGGUUCCCAUGUGGUUCAAAUCAGAACUUCAGGCCCGUCUUAAUCACACAGGUUGGUACGUGCAGGCGAAGAAUCACCCGACAUAUGGAACAUCCUCACGUAGCUUUAUCAGUUAUCUUCAAAAAAGUACAUUUACUCAAGAAUUGUUCUGAAGUACAACUUUCAGGGACUUUUGCUUAAAUGUAUUGUAAUGUUGGCUGAUUUUGUUGACAGCUGGAG